rnacentral:rRNA from 1 species
UACGUAGGUGGCAAGCGUUGUCCGGAAUUAUUGGGCGUAAAGAGUUCGUAGGCGGUUUGUCGCGUCGGUUGUGAAAACCCGCAGCUCAACUGCUGGCUUGCAGGCGAUACUGGCAGACUUGAGUACUGCAGGGGAGACUGGAAUUUCUGGUGUAGCGGUGAAAUGCGCAGAUAUCUGGAGGAACACCGGUGGCGAAGGCGGGUCUCUGGGCAGUAACUGACGCUGAGGAACGAAAGCGUGGGUAGCGAACAGG